GACUCUCGGCAACGGAUAUCUCGGCUCAUGCAUCGAUGAAGAACGUAGCAAAAUGCGAUACUUGGUGUGAAUUGCAGAAUCCCGUGAACCAUCGAGUUUUUGAACGCAAGUUGCGCCCGAAGCCUUUUGGUUAAGGGCACGUUUGCCUGGGUGUCACAC
rnacentral:rRNA from 1 species